GCUAAACACAACGGUGGUCAGGUCACCUGUAAGGUCACCUUCAAAAGUGUCACAACAAAUGAGACAAAAACUCUUAAUGUCAAGUAUGCACCAAGAAUCUUGAAUGACUCUAAUUGUAGUGCUCAGUCAAAGGUUUUGACCUGUGUGUGUAUCAGUGAGGGGUUUCCUUCACCCACCAUCAAAUGGCCACACUUGGAGAGCCACACUGAGUACUGUGUAACAACCAAUGUGUCAAACACCAGAGUCACCAGCACCAUCACUGUGUCCCACGAUCACUGUCAGAACACCACUAUUGAAUGUGUCAGCAGUAAUAGUAUUAGAAAUACCUCAUUAAAUGUCAGCCUUAUAAUAAAGGAGUGCAAUGUUAAUUCAUCAUCACCUGAAGAAAAAAAUAACGGUAAGUAUCUACGAGUGAAAUAUCUCCCCUAUACUCAAAUUUAAGACAACUCCACUAUUGAAUGUGUCAGCGGUAACAGUAUUGGACAAUUAAAUCACAGCAUUACAGUAAAGAAGUUAAACGGAGUUAGUAAGUAUUUAUAAAUCUGCUAUCCUAGAGCUAUCAAAAAAUGUAAGACAUUCACUUCCUGUUUUUACAUGUUUUAUAUAACAUAAGCAAAAAACAUUUUUCAACCUUGUGAUUUCAGAUCUUUACAAACAAGACCCGAAAGUUAUCGCUGCAACAUUGAGGGGCUUUCUGAUUUGUUUUAUUGGGAUCAUUCUUUCAGCAGUCGUUGCUUUUUUGGUAACAAAAUCCAACAGAAAAAACUGGAGGAGGUCUGAAAAGCUGGAGACUGUGACCACUGAAGCAGUACCAAUGCUGGAUGCUGAUCAAACAACAGUAUAAGAUGGGACCCAUGAGCGAGAGGCAGCUGAAGAAGAAACGUGGUCAUGUGAGAAUGCAUCGCUGGUGCCGAUGAUGACAUGGCACCAAAGAGGUGGAGAACGUUGACAAUGACGUCUUGCAGUAAAAACCAGGAAGGAGAGGAGAAACAGAAUAUGCUGAAAUAAAGACAGAAAAAAGGGACAAUGAUGAUCAUGUGUUGUUGCAGCACUUACAAAAAAGGAAAAUUAUUCAGAUAUUAGGCUGUGCUGUAUAAUGCAGUCUAAAUAAAACAAUAACAGGGUUUCUAAUAUAGAUGUAGAUCCUGGCAAAGAGGUUUUCAUAAAACACACUCUCAUGUGAUGGCUCCUUGUAAGUGGCAGUCCUUAGUGGGGAUUAGCUAAAGAUAUCAAGACAUGCAAUCUUAAUGUAAUGCUAUGCUACUCCACUUCAUUUAAUACAAGGAAACUUUGAGUUGUCAACUAUACUGUGUAAUAAAUGUAACAAAUCUACAUAUUAACUCCAAUUUCAACAAAAGCAUAACCAAAGUGAAACUGUGUGAAUCUUUGUGGAGACGUUCUUGUAUGCAAAAAAAGCAUCUGUACAUUUCACAUAUGUCUGUAUACUGUAUCAGGCAAAAUCAGUAGCUUCA